UACGUAGGGUGCGAGCGUUAAUCGGAAUUACUGGGCGUAAAGCGUGCGCAGGCGGUCUGUUAAGACCGAUGUGAAAUCCCCGGGCUUAACCUGGGAAUGGCAUUUGGGACUGCAAGGCUUGAGUGCGGCAGAGGAGACUGGAAUUCCUGGUGUAGCAGUGAAAUGCGUAGAUAUCAGGAGGAAUACCGAUGGCGAAGGCAGGUCUCUGGGCUGACACUGACGCUCAUGCACGAAAGCGUGGGGAGCAAACAGG
rnacentral:rRNA from 1 species